CACUCAUCUAUCACAAAAUUGACACACGCAGAAAGAGAAAGGGUGAAAGAGAGAGAGAAAAAAGCGAAGGAGUGUGAGUACUCCUUGCUUCCUCCCUUUCUUCUUCUUCUUUUUUUUUUUAUU
rnacentral:ribozyme from 1 species